rnacentral:rRNA from 1 species
UACGAAGGGUGCAAACGUUGCUCGGAAUUAUUGGGCGUAAAGCGCACGUAGGCGGCUUCGCAAGUCGGAUGUGAAAUCCCUCGGCUCAACCAAGGAAGUGCAUCCGAAACUGCAGAGCUUGAGUACUUAAGAGGAUCGCGGAAUUCCCGGUGUAGAGGUGAAAUUCGUAGAUAUCGGGAGGAACACCAGUGGCGAAGGCGGCGAUCUGGGAAGAUACUGACGCUGAGGUGCGAAAGCGUGGGGAGCAAACAGG